CCAGUUGCAAUCAACUGACGAGAUAUCUUCUUUCCUAAUAUCAUGCAUUUAAUAUUUAAAUAUAUAUCUAGCAAGAUUUGAGUUACCAAAAUUAUGUAUAUAUUAUAACCAAAAUAUCUUAAAAAAUUUAUUAGAAGAUAUUUUAUCUCAUAGCUGAAUUAGAAUUUAUUAGAGGAUAUUCUAUCUCAUAGCUUCUCUUGAAAACUAGGUCAUUUAGAAACUUAAACCAAUUUGUUAUAUAAAUAUCACGCAACCAUAUUAGUUUCACGCAUCUAUCUUUUAAGUUUUCAUAUCUUUUUGAUCGUUCUAAUUUAAAUUCUACUUUUGUGAUCUUGCGCAGGUGUAUGAUAAUCAAUAAGUAACUCAUAGACGUGAACUCGAUUACUGGUAAUUUUAUGGGAGAUUCUUCUUUUCCGUUUAUUUUUGUUAUCUUCCUCUCCAUGUUGUAUUUCUAUCUAUAUUUUUGCAUCAGUAGUGAUUCAACUAACAAAAAGAGACGAAUUUAUUUAUCCAGGAACUGAUCAUCUCUUUUUUUGAAAAAUGUAUUUCUUUUUUUUAUAAAGUUAAAUCACUUAUCAAGAAUAUAAUAUAAGAUGUGUAUGCUAAUCAAGUGCAAUUUAUUUUAUUGUACGUGAUCCUCUUCGGUACGUCUGAGAGCCAAAGGUAAUCUCAAAGUUUCUUAAAAACUUUGAAACUCAUUGACGUUGUCCUAUCAAUUAUAUAAUUUGUUAUCUUUUGUAGAUUGUUUACAUCUUUAAAUAUUUUUGUUAGAAUUACCUCUUUUCUGACUCAAGGCUUAGAGAAGGAAACCGUAAAUCAUCUCUGCUGUUACAAAGAAACCAAUGAUAAUAAAUCUCAGGUAAUUCAAAUCUCUCUUUUAUAUUUCAUGGCUGAUUUUUUUAUUAGGUUUAUGCGUGAAAUAUUUAUUUUUUCUCAAUUACAUUUUUCUGAUGUUUUAAGAUUAGUGUUAAAUGUGAUCGUUUGAAGCAUAAUGCAUUCUCAGAACACACCUCCAUGAUAAACACUUCUAUGUAUAUUGUGUCAAUUAUGUUAGUGAUUUUGCAUCUGAGUAUUGUGAUGUUUCGAGAGAGAAAGCGUAUCAUCUCAAACCGAGAUUGUUGGGAAAGGUAAUUGGUUUAUAGAUAUGUAACUGGAUAAUUGACAUCUAAAGGAUACAUUUUAUUAGAUAGUACCAAGCAUUCCUUUUAAACCUUUUGAAUAACUUUUUGAAUUAACAGAAUAAUCAUGUUUAACCUAUAAGUAGUUCAAAGAGUUAUGUAUCUAAAGGGAUACGCUUUAUCAGAUAUAAAUGAUAUGUUUUAUUAGAUAGUACCAAGCAGUCCUUUUAAACUCAAACAAUGCCAUGUUUUGAGUUAUAUACAUUGAUUGACCUUUUUUUCCUUGUGGUGUGUAUUCAGAUAGCAGUAAUGAAGUGCAGAUAUAAAGUAAUAUCAAUCAAAAUUAAGAGAAAAGUCUUUUAAAAGCAUAGAUAAUCACAUGGGCCUCUCUUGAACAUGGAAAACAACCAGCAGUUUUGCCAGACCUGAAUUUCUUAAACAUGUUUUCUACUUUCUUUUUUCUUUUUAUUUAGUUUCACCUGAUGAAAAGUUUGAAUCACAAACUCUUGACAUUUUAAAAUUUAUAUUAUUUGUUUGUGUAAUGGUGCAGAGGUUUCAAUGAGACCGGCUUAUCGUUCGUCCAAAAAAGUAUUGGUGAAUGACAAGCUUGAAGCUGAAGUGAAGAAGAAUAGAAGGAUGAUAAGCUUGAAGGAGACGCUGCUUUGAACAAGUUCUUCUGGUGAUAUAUAUUUGAAAUCUGAUGAAGAUAUGAAGAGUGCUAGAGCAAAUAAUUUUUUUGCACAAUCAAAAGGUGGAAUCUAAUGGGACAGUGCUUUCAAUAGACUGGAAAGAUGUUGGUGCUAAAAAAAUCGAGAGCACUCUUCAAGAUGAUCUGGUGCUCAAGACAUGUGAAAUAUGAUCUUAUAUGAUGUGUGGGUUUUACCUUAAUCUAGACAGAACUCGAAGCCUUGGUCUUAAGGUCUGGUUUCUCUACUUUGUAGACUUAAGGUACUUUGUAUUUUCCAUAACUCAUAUU